UACAGGGGGGGGCAAGCGUUUGUUCGGAAUUACUGGGCGUAAAGGGCUCGUAGGCGGCCAACUAAGUCACACGUGAAAUCCCCAGGCUUAACCUGGGAACUGCGUGUGAUACUGGAUGGCUUGAAUUCGGGAGAGGGAUGCAGAAUUCCAGGUGUAGCGGUGAAAUGCGUAGAUAUCUGGAGGAAUACCGGUGGCGAAGGCGGCAUCCUGGACCGACAUUGACGCUGAGGAGCGAAAGCUAGGGGAGCAAACGGG
rnacentral:rRNA from 1 species